rnacentral:rRNA from 1 species
CUAGGGCUAUAAUGCAGUCGAGCGAACAGAUAAGGAGCUUGCUCCUUUGACGUUAGCGGCGGACGGGUGAGUAACACGUGGGUAACCUACCUAUAAGACUGGGAUAACUUCGGGAAACCGGAGCUAAUACCGGAUAACAUUUGGAACCGCAUGGUUCUAAAGUGAAAGAUGGUUUUGCUAUCACUUAUAGAUGGACCCGCGCCGUAUUAGCUAGUUGGUAAGGUAACGGCUUACCAAGGCGACGAUACGUAGCCGACCUGAGAGGGUGAUCGGCCACACUGGAACUGAGACACGGUCCAGACUCCUACGGGAGGCAGCAGUAGGGAAUCUUCCGCAAUGGGCGAAAGCCUGACGGAGCAACGCCGCGUGAGUGAUGAAGGGUUUCGGCUCGUAAAACUCUGUUAUUAGGGAAGAACAAAUGUGUAAGUAACUGUGCACGUCUUGACGGUACCUAAUCAGAAAGCCACGGCUAACUACGUGCCAGCAGCCGCGGUAAUCCCGUAGCCCCGCAAGCGUUAUCCGGAAUUAUUGGGCGUAAAGCGCGCGUAGGCGGUUUCUUAAGUCUGAUGUGAAAGCCCACGGCUCAACCGUGGAGGGGUCAUUGGAAACUGGGAAACUUGAGUGCAGAAGAGGAAAGUGGGAAUUCCAUGUGUAGCGGUGAAAUGCGCAGAGAUAUGGAGGGAACACCAGUGGGCGAAGGCGACUUUCUG